GACGAACCGUGCGAACGUUGUUCGGAAUCACUGGGCUUAAAGGGCGCGUAGGCGGGCUGCCAAGUCCGGGGUGAAAUCCUUCGGCCCAACCGGAAAAGUGCCUUGGAUACUGGCGGCCUGGAGGGAGGCAGGGGCGGAUGGAACUUCCGGUGGAGCGGUGAAAUGCGUUGAUAUCGGAAGGAACGCCGGUGGCGAAAGCGAUCCGCUGGACCUCUUCUGACGCUGAGGCGCGAAAGCCAGGGGAGCAAACGGG
rnacentral:rRNA from 1 species